AUCUUCUUCAUAUUUCACGUUGACGAUCGGCUUUCUCCUUGCGGCCACCGGUGCCGCCAGCGCUUGAUCACAACCUUCCGCCACUGUCGCUGUUCUUCAGCCCUGCCCCUCCUCCAGCGCCGCCUUCCUCCAACUCUUGAAGUAGAAGUUGAACCAGGAAGCACUCAAGUGUAUGACUUGAGGACCUCAAAUUGUACUUGGAAAUGGGAGAUCGGAAAUUUUGUCUCAGCAUAGCCUUUGAAUCCCUCUCCUCUUAAUAAUUGGUAUUUGCUAAUUAGGGUCAAUUUGUUUUUGUUUAGUGGAUUAAUUUUGCUCUUGUUUUCUUGUUGUAGGAAGUAUUUGAAUUAGUUGUAAUCUUCCUAUUCAGUUAUUUGAACAUGGAGACCAAGAAUUCUUCUA